GGCUGUUCGCAAUCGCAACAAGCGACUGCACCCUGCCUUGGCGGGGUGAAUCAUCUUCCCAGGGUCAGGGUAAGCCUAACCUGGAGUAACUGCCCGCCUCCUGCAGCCCACUCGCACCCCUCCCUUACACCCCCACUGAAGUCGCAUCACAUCCCUCUGUUGCACUCUGUGUCCCCUCUCGUACCCCCACAUUAUCCCCCCAGAAUCCGCGUUACACCUUUUGUACCGCUCGCUCUUCCGCUGCAGCCCAGCGGCAUCUCCUGCUUUAACCCCACUGAAUCCCCAUCACAGCUCCACCGAAUCCCCUCAUUCCAUUCGCCUUUCCACCCCUCUUGCAGUCCCCAUGGAAGCCCCAUUACUUCUCCCUGCAUUCCUUUUGCAGCCUCGUUGCAUCCCCGCCUUGCAUCUCCACUGAGGUCCCUCUACAUCCCCCCUCUGUAUCCAUCUCUCAGCCCUUGUCUCCCCCGGUCACCUCGGCAAAGCAGCCCCUCCGCACCCCCCUUGCACGGCGUUGGAACUCCCGCUUUCUCCCCUGUCUCGUCCCCCUUCCAGCCCGGCUGUGUCCCGCCUAUCCCCCGGUGCCAUCCCGCCCCGCGGAGCCGCAUCCCCGCCUCUCGCUGCGCCCCGCGGAGCCGCACCGGCGCGGGGGAGGGCGCACGGAGCCGCCGCGUUCCGCCGCCCGGCGGUGCCAUCACGGCCCGGCACGGCUCGGAUCGGCACGGAGACGGCUGAGUCCGAGCGCUCUCGUGACAUCAGAUGUGCCGUGCAUGCUCUGCUGCGUGCGUGUGCGGCAGGAUGAGGAUGGCGACGGGGUCCGGAAGGAGGAUGGGCACAUUAUGAAUUUCUAAACCAGCAGCUGACUGGCAGCACAGCCUGCUCGGGUCAUGGUUUUCAUCCACCCUGUCCCCAGGCUGGCUGGCAGUGAUGCUGAUACCCUGCAUAUUCCCAGCCUGGGGUACAGCAGCAGGGUCAGGGACCAGCCCAGGCUCUGUGGCUCGUCUUGGAGCCGUGUUGCACAGAUACAAAUUGCUCAGAUGGACGUUUUGUGAAACGCUGCUGAAGAAAUAAUGAUUGCAUUUCUGCCAUCUAUAAAUAAAUGAAGGUGAAAGGGCA
rnacentral:lncRNA from 1 species